rnacentral:rRNA from 1 species
GGAGUCGAGUAUGAAUGGNUCUACGGAAACAAGCUGUCUCUUUUUGGUUGUAUUGAAGUUUCUUUAAGGGUGCAAAGUCCCUUGAUUAGAAAAAAGACGAGAAGACCCUUAGAGUUUUUAUUAAAGAUAAGAAUUUAUUUAAGUUUUUGCUGGGGCGGCAAAGAGACAAAGGAAUUAAACUCUCUUUUUAUUGUUUUUAGAAGACGAAAAUGUUAAGAAUCAUUAAACUACCUUAGGGAUAACAGCAUAAUUAAAUUUUAGUUUGUGACCUCGAUGUUGGACUAGGAAGGCUUUUGACCAGCAGUCAAAAAGUGUGGUUCUGUUCGAACUAA